rnacentral:misc_RNA from 1 species
UUUCCUCCAUUUUGAGGAGUAAAAUGAAGUUCAUCUCUAUUCACCAUAAUACAGGACUCCUCAAGCUUUGCCUUGUCAACUUGUUGAAUGAUUUGCAUUUCUGAGUAACAACAAUAACAUAAUAAAGAAAAAAUCACCAUAAGAUAUCCAACAAGCAAAAUAUACAAGCGGUAGGAAUAAGCCCUAAAAGAUAGUUUGACAAUCACAUCGAAUAUGAGAAGCAGUUAUUAUUAGGUAAACCCAAGAAAUGUGUCCAUAAUCCUGACCUCUUAGAAUUGCAUGAGUUUAGUGAAUAUCAAUUUCAAAGAUCACCAAAAUGAAUAAUAAUAGCUUAAAAUUUUUCUUUCGUCUUUCUUUUUUUCAGUUUCUUUUGGCAUUUAAUGAUUAAGAAAGUAAAAUUGAAUAAAUCAUUGUACAUAACUACUACCAUUAAAUAGAAAUUUGUGGCUUAACUAGGACAUAUCACAUAUCAUGAAAGGACCAUCAGCAUUUCAAAGACGACAAAAUAAUAAAAAAUUAAAAAUUAAAAAAGCUUUCAGCCAUAGCCAGAAGUAGGGGCAGAGAUGGCCCAGGCAAGAUUGGCCAUGUUGGUUUGGGUUGGAUUGAGCACCGAUAUAGUCUGCGCUGUACUCUUCAAAUUGAGCAUCUAUAGGAAAUUUGGAUUACCCACCACGAGGCAAAUGUUAAUCCUCAUUUGGCAAAUGUUAAUCCUCAUUUGGUUCAAAAUGACACUUCUACUCCCAGGGAAGUGCACUUUCAGGAAACUUACUUCCUAGAAGUAUGAUAUAACUUGUUUGGUUGGGAGUAAGUAGACUAAAAAAGUAAAACUUCUUGGGAAGUGCAGAAAAGAGACUUGUUUGGUUUGUAUUAUCAACCCAACUUCCCGAUAAAUAAGAGCAUUCUACUUCUUUUGCGCAAGGGAAGUAAUUUACCUAGGUGAGACUUGGUAAGUUGCACUUUCCUAGUU